rnacentral:lncRNA from 1 species
GAAGGGUGGCUGGUGCUGUUGAAGGUUGAUGGUCGGAGAGGUGUGGAAGGCACCAGAGACAGUCGAUCGCUGUAGAAGUCGGACGGCUGGAGCAUGUUCGUUGUAGAAGUUCGUCCGGAAUCCAAUCGCUGUAGAAGUUCGGAUGGAGUUCAGAAGGAGGCCGCAUACCUAAAAGCUCGGAUGGAGAUCGAUUAUCGUAGAAGUUCGGAGUAGAUCGCUUAUUGUAGAAGUCCCACUGUCGGAGAAGCUCGAUCCUUGAUGAAGUUCGAAAGAGGUUUGGAGUAGAGAUCUGGCUACUGGAGCCCAUUCGUUGUAGAAGUUUGGAAGGAAUUCACUUACAGUAGAGGUCUGGAGUAGACCGCUUGCAGUAGAAGUUUGGAGUAGACCGCUUGCAGUAGAAGUUCGGAGUAGAUUGCUUGUAGUAGAAGCUCAGAGUAGAGACCCGAUUGGUGGAGCCUAUCCCGUUGUAGAAGUUCGUCUGGAAUCCAUCCGCUAUGGAAGUUCGGACGGAGUUCGGUUCUUGUAAAAGUUCGGAUGCAGACCGCUUAUUGUAGAGGCUC